CAUCGGCAUGGUGGACUUCCCAGAAGCACUCUACGACUUUGGCUCUAGUGUCAACAUUAUGCCCAGGGUACUCUAUGAAAAAUUCUUUACAUGUCCUUUAUUAGAAACAACCAUGUGUUUGCAGUUUGCAGAUCAGACGUUAAGUUUCCCAAAGGGAAUAUUGAAGAACCUCUGCGUCCGAGUUGGUACCUUGUAUGCCCCAGCAGACUUCGUGGUGAUAGAGACCGGUAAUGAUGAGAGGGCACCCAUCAUCUUAGGGAGGCCAUUCUUGAACACUUCGGGAGCUGUCAUCUACGCCAGUGCUGCCAAGAUCAGUUUCUACAUCAAAGGAAGAAAGGAGGCGUUUUCCUUCAAGAACAAGGCUACACAAAUCCCAUAGCAAUCUCGACAUGAACCAAGGAAGAGGACCAACAGGAGGAACAGGAACAAGCAAGUGUGGACCAAGUCAGCUAAGAUGGUCACUGCAGUUCAAGGAGGUCAAGAUCAUCGACUUAAGUCACCGUUUCUGACCAAGAAGGACGACCCAGGAAUGCCAAGCAUCUAUUGCUCCAUUAAUGGAUACAGCUUCUACAAGACACUGUGUGACACCGGAUCGGGCGUCAACAUAAUGGCCGCAGUCACCUAUCGGCUCUUGUUCGGAACUAUGCCUUUAAAACCAACAUACAUUCAGCUCCAGAUGGCAGAUCAGACAUUCCGAAAGGUUGAAGGUAUAGUAACCGAUGUCCCUAUCAAAAUAGACGAUCAUUUUGUCCAUACAGACUUUCAGAUUAUUGACAUGGGAGAAGAUGAGUACGAUCCACCCAUCAUCCUUAGGAGACCUUUCCUCAGCACUGUUAAAGCAAUCAUCUACAUUGGAAGUGGAGAAGUCCACAUGCACUUCCCCUCAGAGAAGGUACGCUGCUAUUUUACUGAUCCUAACUAUAUAGUUGAAGACUCUAAGCAGGUCAGGACAAGAAGAAGACGACGCAACCGUAACCAGAGGUGGGAAAUCAUCAAGGACGGAUGGGCAGACUACGAAGAAGAAGUGGUAAGGUCUGAAGACAUACAGUUCAAACAAAAUUAUCCUGAGGAGACCAUAGCACCAAGUCAGGUGUGGAGAGAGAAGAUAACUAUACACGAAGAAGAGGCGCCGCCGGAAGCACCGACUACGCCACCCAAUAAAUCCCAGGACAACUGAGAAAACGGAGAGUCCCGUUCGAGGACUUAAAAACACCGAACGCCUUGCCAAGAGGUAAACUUGGUAGUUAUCUUUUUCCUUUCAAUUAUUUAAAAUAGUUUGCUUAGUUAAUCAGGUUCAUAUCAUUUUAAAAAAGAAAAUAAAAUGUUAAAAAAUAAUAAGCCACAUGUGAGUAUACAAGUGGCAUAAAACCCAUAAGUACAUUCACUGUGGCGGCAUAAAAAUAAAAUAAAUAUUUUUUCUGCUCUAUAAAAUGAAAAUAUAAAAAUAGAGAGUGACACUUAUUGAGGAGGCUCAACAUGAUAAAGGCUAGAUAUUUAUGCUAACACCUAAUCAGUUCCACAAAGCUUUGUUGUCUAUUUGAGCUCCGCAUAAUUCAAGAAUCAAGAAGACUAGCACACGGAGGACAUUCUAAUCGCUGUCAGGGUACUACCGACUUUCAAAUACAACUCUGCCACCUGCUAGCUACAUUAGAAGAAAUUACGUCAAAAUUCAGCUUGGGAGAGAGCACCCCCAUUUAUCCCGCUAAGUAUUUCUAUCUAUUUAUAUACUAUAUUAAAAUAUAAAUAUACAUAACUAUGAAAAACCAAAUAAAGAUUUUGUGCUUAUAUAUAUAUAUCUUUUGAUUAGUAUGCUUAAUAAAUAAAUAAAGUGGCUAUGCUGAACUGAAUCUUAAUAAUAAAACUCUAGCAUGGAUAUGAUGAAUAGUUACUCUGCCUAAUUUUCAAAUUUGAGUUUUCUCUCAAGUUUAGACAUAACUGUUAUAAUUUAAAGCUUGCUCUAAAUGUGGACUUGUGGGAAGAAAACUUGAUCUAAAGUCUAAGUUGUUAACAGAUAUGAUAUGGGAAGGUUGAGAUGUUGUUUAUCUGUUCCUAGAGAUGCUAGAAUUCUGAAGAAUUUUAUCGUUGAAAAUCUUUAAAAUAACACAUGAUGAGUUCAUGUAUGAUGAGAGUUUAAAUUCCUACCACAACCAUAUAUACAUGCUUGUUAGACUUUGAGCCACACAUUUACUUUUUACUGCUUAUGAGCAUUGAGUGUGGUCAAGCUGUGUAGACCCUUAGGAGCUUGUCAUGUGGUUAAAUCAAGAUUCACUUGCACGUUCACUCACACAUGCUGCUUCUACUCCGAAAGUACGCAUCCACAUAUAAUCACCCAUUUCCAUCUCCAGAACCACUCAAAAACAUUCAACUCCUAACCCGGAAGAGAAUAGCCAAAAAUAUUUCUAUUUUUCCCCUGUGAAAUAAAUGCUCAAGUUAUCUUGAUUACUACCACUUGCUAUAUUAUUUCAAGAGAUGAGUGCUCUAAAAAAAGAAAAAAAAUAAAAAGAUACGAGGAAAUAAAAAUAGGCAAGUGCCCGGAACCUCGAAAGAGAAGAAAAAGUGAGACGAGAGGUAAAAAUGGACAAGUGUCCGACAGUAGAAUUAGGGGUACAAGAUACCCACCUGAGAGAAAAGAAAAAGAAAAUAUAGAGCAUCUCAUUCUCCUCAAAAAGUUUCAAAAGAGCAAGAAAGGUAUGCAUCCCCUCAAAAGAGCAACAAGUAGAAUUAGACUUUCACCAUUGUUAUUACCAUCAUCACCAUACACCAUACAUUCGCCACACAUGCACAUCUUGAUUUGACUUAUUUGACUUGUUUCUUUGGAUCCAUGGUUUGACUAUACAAUAAAUGUCUUGUAAGUAUGUAUACCUUAUUAGAAUAGGGUGAGAGAGAAGGCAAUGUCACUAUGCCUUAUACCACAAAUACCACAUAUUUUGAGAGAAGGCAUAUACCAUCACUGCCUUCGUAAGGAUCCAGAAAUACCACAAAAGAGAGAUCUGAGAGAGUCAUACAAGGAAUCUCUGAGUUUUAUUUGAAAAUCCGCAAAAACUCCAGAGCUAUAGCUGAUCAAGAAUAAGAGACAUGGCACUUGACUAGACCGUUCUAUCUUUUAACUGCUCAAGACAGAAGUGACGGUUACAAGUCCCAUGGUGAAAGGUAAAAUAAGUAAGUUUUAAGUCCUAACAGUUUACUCUAACUCAGAGAUGAGAUCUUAUUUUAAAGUAUGUGUACCGUCAACUUUUAAAGGCAUUACAGCAACUUCUGAUCCAUCACCGAGAUUAUCCUUGCUCAGGGGCGAGCAAGAGGUAAGCUUGGGGGAGUUGUUGACGGUCCUUAAGUAUCAAAUUUAAUUAACAAAUAAACAAAGAAAAGGAUCCAAAUGCAACCAACAUCCAGACUUAGGGUUUUAUCUCACAGAAUUCCACGAGUUUUGGUGUUUGUCUAUUUCUGUAGGGGUUAUCAGAAAAUAUGGAAGAAAGGCCCACACGUCGGGUUUACAUAGAGAUAUUAACGUGCCGCGCAAUUAUCUUACAUCUAGAAGAGUCCAGAAGCCACGGGAACGAACGGGAGACCGGACGGGCUCAGGGGCAGGGCGCCCGCCCUGGCCUCGGGGCCAAUCAGCUUUAACUUCACGGAUCAUGCUCCACCGACCUAAAGAAUCAAGGAAAACCAUGCGAUUAAUGUCGGUUUGAUCCGACGGCCCAUAUUCACUUGGAAGGACUAUAUAACCAGACACCUUGGCCCCUGGAGGAGGAGAGCUCAAACCCCUAAUUCAUUAUUCAUCUUGAGAGAAGAAGCCUCUGAUCAAGCCUUAGAGCCACCACAUCAAUUAGAUCUCUAGUUUAGCAUAGUAGAAGGAGUCAAUCUUCGAUUGGUUUCCGGAUCUGUCAGGAGGAUUCUUGGUAAUUCUAUUGUUCUUCAAUUGUUCAUCUUUGUUCUUCAAUAUUAUGAAUAUGACUUUGUUCUACUUCAAUAUAUUAAUUAUAACUUUACUCUACUUGUUUAUAUUCGCAAUUAUAUUGUUCUUAGUUUAUCAUAGUUAUAUACUUGGCUUAGUUAGAUUGGAAUUAUAUACAUGUUUAGGAUCGUAUAGCAUUUAUCCAUGUGUACAGUGGGUAAAUGAUAAGUAUUGUGUAGGCGUGGUGCCUAUACCGUAUUUAUCUACGAUUGUACCCUAUAUGCCAGAUCGUGGGGUAGUUCGUGGUAGUGACAGCUCCAUUGAUUCUUAUAUAGUCCCCCUCUCGUGUAUUGGGCUGGCAGAGAAACAUUAUUACAGGGGAGUGAUUGCGAUGUUUCUCAUAUUCAUUGAUAAUAUCACUAUGCAUGGGCGUAGUCUUGUCUCGCAAUGAUUGCCAAGUAUAAUUGCACUAACUAUGAUAUGCUAGACUGUAUAGUUGAGAAUAACUUAAUUAGGAAAUAUUCUUGUAGUUCGUCCUAAUUCCAUGCUAAUGACUUGCUAGAAUAUCUAAUUGAUGUGCUUAUCAUAUUUAUAUGUGGCCAAGUUAUGCUGAUCAGAUUAAUUAUCUUUGUCACCAUUCAUAUUUUAUAUAUCUUUCAUUUGACAUUUAUCCCUAUAUGAAAGAGAUAGAUAAAUGCUCUCAAUUAUACAUGCAAUGAUAGAUACUCAAUUCUAUAUUCCAUUCUAUAAUCAACAUUGAUGAUUACUAAUCUCUUCCCAGUGGUAAAAAUAUAAAUAACGAUACCUAGAAUACUUCUCGGUUAAAAUGCUACAUUGGUAUUAAUCUAUGCGCUUGCAGAUGUCAUUUAUUAUUUAUUUAGAAGAGCAAUUGCAUAUUUCAAUACCGCGUCUUUCAUGUCAUGCUGGGGAUGACAACUUGGCUUAAGUGGUAUGAGGGAUAGGUUUGGCAUUUUUAGCGCCGUUAUCAGAAUUAGAAAACUAAGUCUACUUUUGGUAGUGACGUUAAGAAUGCCCGACAAUGAUGGUGAUUUUGGUGAUGAUAAAGAAUGAUGUCAUGAAAAAGGAUAUUAUUUUCAACUGACAUUCUCUAUGUCUUAUUCAUUUAUGUUUAUUUGUGUUUUUGUACAAUGAAAUAUAGUAAUUAAGUAUAAACUUCUAAUUAUAUUAAGCAAUCAUGAUGUUAGUAUUGAUAUAAGCUCCAUUUUUUUUACUAUUUUUAAUAUUAUGCUAGUGGGACUUAAUGACUGUAAUCUGUAAUACACUAUGCACACACUAAUCUCUAUAAUGCGCAAUAUGUUAUGCAGGCCUUGCUAUGAGUCUGCUUUUCACAAUUUAUUACCUUUCUAGGGGCUAGAAAGCAAGUUCAUGGUACUCCUAAAGGCAUAACAUUAGAGAAACUUCCUUGACCAAUAAGAUAAAUCAAGAAAACUGUAGUAGUAGCUACAACAGGAGCUGAAUAUGCAACAACAAUCCAAGGGUGCAUACCUAGAUAGAAAUUAAGUUCCCACUCAGAACCCAUAUAACAAGCUACUCCAAGUAUGAAGUGUGGAACAAUUAGCUUAUAAGGACUGCCAUUGUAUAAUCAUUCAUCAAAAGAUGAUAUGGAUGUAGAGCUAGUCGCAAAGGAUUGAAGGUGUGCAUCGUAAGGUCGAAACCGUAGCAAGCAUAUUUGUUCAUCGGGUGUCACUGAGUGUGUGUCUCUAGUGACUCAAGUGGACUCUGAAAGCCCUAGUUUGGUUUUGGAUAAUUGAUGAAACCCUAGUACUAACCUCUAUACUAAGUGUGUGUAGACUUAAUGAGGUUGGUACAUGCCAAGUGAUGGAGCAAGAGAUGAUCAUAGUGAUGAUGGUGAUGACCACAAGAUGAUCAAGUGCUCAACUUGGAAAAGAAGAAAGAGAAAAACAAAACCCUAUGGAGAUCAAGGCAAAGGUAUUGCUUAGGGUUUUGGUUUUGGUGAUCAAAACACCAUAGAGGGUGUGAUCACACUUAGGAUAGAUAGCCGUACUAUAAAGAGGGGAAUUCUUUGGCUAAGCGGUUAUUAAGUGCCACUAGGUGUCAUUGUUCAUGUGCAUGCAUUUAGAACCUAGUGAGCUAACUUAACUCCUUCAAAGAAAAUGAUUGUGAAAAUGCUAACACACGUGCACAUGUUGGUUCACACUUUGUGGUGUUGGCACACUUUGAGAAGGAGGUUGAGGUUGGAAGGGUUGAGAGAGGAUUGGGUGUCGGCGCACUUUGUGGUGUCGGCGCUUUUUGAGAAAAUGAAGUGCAUAUUUUCUAUUGCGCCGGUGGAAAAUUUGGAGAAGUCUCAGGAGUGUUUCUUGCUGAGAAACACUCACCGAACGCAGCACCGGACGCUGAGCCUAAGCGUCCGGUGUGCUGUUGUGCUUGACUCGACUAGGGUUAAGCACCGGAUGUAGGGUGACUCCUGUUCAUGCAUCCGGUGCUAUCUGACUACUGAGGGUAAACCUAACUGAGAGCACCGGACGUUCAGGGUGCGUCUAGUGGCUCACGUCCGGUGACCCUACGAGUUUGCGAACUUCCCUGCGUUUAAGACCGGUGAGCACCGGCGUCCGGUGACCUCGCGCGUUUGCAAACCUCUCUGUGUUUAAGACCGGUGUGCACCGUACGUGUCCGGUGCCAACUUAAGUGCGUCUGGUGCACUGCAGGUUACCGUUAGACUCCGACGCGUGAGAUUCAAAACGCAACACGUGGCUGUUUCUGGAGCACCGGACGUAGGUGCUGAGCGUUCGGUGCCUCCUAUUGAGCGUCCGGUGACCCUGUGUUUUGCCCAGUGAAAGAGCCAACGGCUCUAUUUGUUUGAGGGGUCUUUAAAUACUUGUUGGCCGGCUUAGGGCUCACUCUCUUGGCAUUCUAGCAUACUUGACAUCCUUGUGAGCCUAAGCAAACACCUCCCACUCAUCUCCUUCAUCGAUUAAACAUCUUUGUGAGAUUGGGAGUGAUUCCAAGCGCAUUUGCUUGAGUGAUUGCAUCUAGUGGCACUUGGGGAUCGUUCUAGCUGCGGUUUUCUUGUUACUCUUGGUGGUUGCCGCCACCUAGACGGCUUGGAGCAGCGGAGGAGGAUUGGCACGAGUUGGUGAUUGUUCGUGGCCAUCUCCCGGUGAUUGUGAGGGGUCUUGUACCUUCCUCGACGGAGAGCCGAAAGGUAACUCUAGUAAAGUGCUCAUGUCAUUGAUCGAGUUACCUCACUUGAGGAUAGGUUCUUGUGGUGUCCUAGUGAGGACGAGGUUCGUGCUACACCUCUUAGCCACUGAACCACCAAGUGUUGGUCGACACAACGGGGACGUAGCGUGCCGGCAAGCACGUGAACCUCGGGAGAAAAAUUGGUGUCUCAAUUGUGUUUGAUUGGCAUUCUCUCGGUGCUUGAUUAUUUAUAUUGGUGAUUGGUUCAUCCCCUACACGGCGGUAUAAAUAUCUCAUCCUAUCUAUUACUUACCGCAAACUAGUGUAAUUAGUUUAGUUGCUUACUUUGCCUUGUGUAGCUUAGUUCACUAGUGUUGCUUAUAGAGACUUAGUUCUUGUGUGCAUAGUGAUCAUAACAACUAGAAUUGUUGGGUAGGUGGCUUGCUAACACCCCUUUAGAGCUAGAGCAAAAAGCUUCGCUUUGUUAUUUACUAACCACUUGCUCUAGUGAGUUUGUAGUUUUUUUUUAAAUAUGCUAUUCACCCCCCUCUAGCCAGUAGGACCUUUCAGACUCAAGAACAAAAAGAACACAGAGAGUACUAAAAGGCCCUUGUUUGGUUUUGGUAAUUGAGUGACAACUUAGGUGCACUAAUAGUGUUUAUGUGAGAUACACACGAGAUUAGUCCACAUGUGAAUAUGUGAUAAUGGAGGAGCUCAUUGCAUAUGAGACAUGACAUGGAGUCAUGUGACCAAGGUGGAUAAGAUCAAGAUGAGGCUUAGCUCGAUGGAUUGGUUGCAAGUAUGAAAGGCAAAUCGGAGGCUUUGAAGUGAGGGACCAUGUGUGACGGUUGUUGACGGUUCUUAAGUAUCAAUUUUAUUUAUCAAAUAAACAAAGAGAAAGGACUAAUAUACAAACAACACCUAGAAUUAGGGUUUGAUCUGACAGAAUUCCAUGAGUUUUGUUGUUUAUCUGUUUCUGCAGGGGGUUAUCAGGAAAUAAGGAAGAAAGGCCCACAUGUCGGGAUUACAUAGAGAUAUCAAUGCACCGCGCAAUUUUCUACCAUCUAGAAGACUCUAGAAGCCACGGGAACAAAGCAGAGGCCGAAAGGGGCCUGGCCCAGGGCGCCCGCCCUGAGGACCAGGGCGCCCGCCCCCUCCUGGAUUCCAAUCAGAACUCUUUUCGCGGACGACGCUCCACCGACCUAAAGGAUCAAGGAUAACCGUCCAAUCAAUGUCGGUUUGAUCCAAUGGCUCACGUUCACUUGAGGGGACUAUAAAACCAGACCUCCUGGCCCCUGGAGGAGACAAGUUCAUCAUAGAGUUGAGAGGAGCCCUCGAAGGAAUACCUCUCCUCUAAAUAAAAUUUCUUUUUAGGCUUAGCAUCCAAUGUGAGUAGAAUUAGAUUUUCUAGUUUCUACUAGAUUGAGAGAGAUAGAAUGGAGGUGUAGAUUGGAGGAAGCCCGGCCUGUCGGUGUCUACUCCGAGUUUGUACCUGCGGGAUCAAGUUCUCCUAACCCGAAGCUUGCUCCUAGGAUUCUUCAGUAUUUCGACUUCUAAAUUCUAGUAAGUUCUUGUUUUAUUGUUCUUUUGGUUUAUGAGUUUACUUUAAUCUCUUCGCGUAGAGUUUAGAGUAAUCAUCUCUAGCGUAGACGUGGUGUUUGGGCUAGGAUACUCAUAGAUAUUCCCUGACUAGCUAGAUCGUGGUAGUAGCGAGGAACGUGACAUUUCCGAGUUACCUUUGCAGACCAUAUCUCGUUAGCAGGAAGGAUAGGGUUUAUAGGUGUGGGUUGAACAUCCUCUGUGGUGUCUAGAUUCUGUUAGCCUCCCUAAUAGAACAAUAGAUCAUCCUUACCAAGGUUAGAAAGAGAUUACAGUUGUAGUCUUCUCUAUUUAUCACUCACAUCGAGAAACAUUCUUUGUAGCCUAAAGGUUAGUAGUAAUAGACCGGGUUAGUCAGAUACACUCUUUCUCCUAGUGGUAAAAAAAAUAAAUACGAUACUCUAGAUAACUUCCCGGGUGAAGUGCUCACCGUUAUCUGUGCGCUUGCGGAUCAAUUCCUUAUUGUGUUCCCAAAUAUCAACAACGGUGAAGCUUGAGCAAGACUUGGCGCUAAUGGACCAAGACAAUAGUGAAGAGCAAGUGAGGUCAAGAUCAAUGAACCAAUACAGUCACGUGAUGAUCUAAAGUGGAUCAUAUCAUUUGGUGAUUGGUUGGUGCAUGUGUUGCAUCAACUUUGGAGGAGAUAGAAUGGAAUGCGCAAGGCAAAGGUAUAACCUAGGGCUUUUUCAUUUCAUAGAUUAGGUGUGUAGAGAAGUUGAUGACUGGAUUUAGGAUAGAUGGAUGUACUAUCAAGAGGGGCAAACUUAUUUGCAUAUCGAUCAUCUAGUGCCACUUGAGCGAUCUAACUUUGCAUAUGUGUUAGGAUCGAGUGGCGGGCAAGUUGAGAGGCUAACUUAUUUUGGAAAAUGUUUCUAAAAUGCUAACACACUUGCACAAGUUGAUCGAGUCAUGAGAGUGUUUCUCACUGAGAAACACUCGUUGGACGCUGAGGUCAGCAGUGUCGGACGCUGGACCUAUGUUUGAUGCAGUGUGGCAGAACUAUGUGCGUCACCAUGGGUCAUCGACGCAUCCGACGCUCAGGCACCACUACGUCCGAUGCACACUAUGUUUCUUAGGGUUUCAUGAGGUGUACGUGUCGGACGCUGGGAUGCGUCCAAUGAUCACCCGUUAGACACGUCUGAUGGUGAGUAACUGAGUUUGGGAACUCUUUGAGUAGCAUCCGACAUGAGGUGCCAACAUCCGAUGAAUUACGUCGGAGCGUCUGAUGCCUCUACACAUGUGAGUUAGUCGUUAGUGGCAACGGUUAAGUUCAAACAGCUAGUGACACGUGGAUACUAUGUAAGCAUCGGAUGCUAGGGAGGUGCGUCUGACCUAGUGUUGGAGCAUCCGAUGCCCACGCAUUCGGAGUAGUAAGGGCUCCAACGGCUCUAUUUGGCUUAGGGAUAUAAAUAGAUAUGGUGGCCAGCCUUAGGCUGGUUGCUAAGCACACUAAGGCCUUGGUGGCUUAUGUGGUGGUGCUUGGGAUCCCUCUAACUCACUCAUGCUUGAUAGUGUUCAUCCGAUCGAGUGAGAGAGCAAUUCUAGUACAAUUGCAUCGUGAGGUUCCAUUGAGUGGCACUAGGUGUUUGUGUUGCAAGACAAUAGUGCUUGUUUCUCUUGGAGAUUGCCACCUCCUAGACGGCUUGGUGGCUUGUGACUCUAUUGAAGCAUGCAAGGAGAUUGUGUGAUGCCCUGGAGAAGAGAUUGUGAGGGGUACGGUGCUCACCCCGCGGGGAUAACGAAGAGUAACUCUAGUAGAGCGAGACACGAAGGGCGAUAAGUGGUCUGACCAGGUCAAGUGCUAGAGCUUGUGGUAAGCACUCCACGUGGGAGAAUGUGACUUGUGAGUCACCACUAGCAAGAGGACUGCUGGCAACCUUGGAGCUUGUCUCAACAAGGACUUAGCUUCGUGGCAACCAAGUAAACCUUGGUAAAAAAUCACCGUGUCAACAUUGACUACUAUUCUUUCUGGUUUACAUUCGCCAUACACAAACUUAUAUGUACUUUCUAUAUAUAGUGCUUGUGUUGCUCUUAACUAGUUUAGCCUGUGUAGCUUGUUAGUUAUCUUCUUGAUUGUGUAGCUAGAAGUAGUUUCCUUGCAUGGCUAAUUUGGUUUGUGUAACCUUGUUAGUCACGUUGCUUAGUAUAUGUAGCUAAGUAAUUUGUGCUCCAUAACUUGGCUUUGUGUAGCUUAGGAGCUUUGUGCUUUUGCUUACUAGUUGUGUAGAAGCUCCCCCGAUUUGUAAAGUACUAGUGACUUAGGUUUGUGUGACCUUUCUUCUAGAUUUGGUUAGGUGGGCUUUUGCUAAGGAAGCACCUUGAUUGCUUGUUUAGGAUCUUUUAGAAGGUGCUAGAGAACUUAUAUAGAGGGGUGUUGUCUUGGCUAGACCUAUAGUUUUAGCCAGCGUGAUAAGUUUUAAAAAGGACUAUUCACCCCCAUCUAGUCUACCAACUCGACCCUUCAAGUAUGCAACGGUUUAUCUUGGUUCAGGCUAUUAGGGCCCUAGAUCCAGCAAUAGAUGAUCCUUGUACUCAAGAGCAC
rnacentral:lncRNA from 1 species